rnacentral:tRNA from 1 species
GUGGGUAUAGUUCAGUGGUAGGAUGUGUGCUUAGCACGCAGAAGGUUCUGGGUUCAAUCCCCCGUACCUCCA